rnacentral:misc_RNA from 1 species
UCUUGCAUCGUGCUACUGACCA